AGCCGUUGGGGCGCCGGGGGCGGUGGAAGCCCCCCUCGCGGGGCCUGGCGGGCUGCGCCCCGUUUCUGCCGGUGCUCCGGUUGUGCCGGCCGCGAGGCAGGGGCUGCCGUUGCUGCGCCCCGCUUCCCCCGCCUUUGGUCGGCGGGCAGGUGGCCGCGGUGGGGGCAGGGCUGGGCCCGGGCUGGCGGGACCCUGCCGCGCCUCUGAGGGGAGCGCGGCCUGCCUCCGCCACCGCGGCCGCCGCCGAUGCUGCCCCGUGCCAGUCUUUGCCCUAAGUCAUGCACUUGAGCUGCUUUUGGCCCAGGACAGUGGGCAAUGAGAGUCGGAGCCAUCAGACCCAAGAGCUCUCCCCAGAGCAGCUCUCCAGCACAGAUUAGAAAGCAUUCCCUAAAGAUGGCGCUGCACUUGCGCUUUCAGAAACUGCUGAAUUUGUCUAUGUACUCUAGACACUCCAGGGCUUAUUCUCAAACGUGUUUCAUGGAAAUCAUAUUUUAAAGGCCUGUAAUACCAGCUUCACUUAAAGUGACGAUUCUUCUUUCUUGCUUCAGCUGCUUACCGUGACUACCACCAAGUUGCUAGGUGAUGGGGUCAAGCCAGCAAUUUCUCCAUUCCUUUGCAGCGUGCUGUCACUGAUGGGAAGAUGUGUGCCAAGGGGCUGGCAUCUAGCCAGGAUGUGCCUGGGUGCACCUGCGAUAGUGGCGGAGUCAGGUUGCACAAGAAUUCAGAACAUGGACACUGGAAUUUCCCAAUGAGAAUUUCCACAGGAGAGAGAAAAUUCCAUUCCUUCAGUUCUGAAACAGAUUUGUCAUUUGCAGCUGUAUACGAAUAUUUAUGUUACUUCCUACUGCUCAUACCCAGUCUGUGAAUCAGAUAUAGUCCCUUCAUUAACUAUAACUUACCUAGUUAUUUAUUCCUUUCAAUGUGACAAUCUCUCUUUAGUCUGUCUUUGCACCAGUUAAUACUCGUAUACACAUUGCCAAGCUGUCUUUUUACCUGGCUUCUUCCAUCUUCUAACUGUUAAAGCACAAAGUUUAUGUGAAUCUCUUCCAACUUUUCUCAUCAUUUACCUCUUCAAAACACUUUUUAUCAACAAUCCCAGCCUUGUUUCAAGAGGCUUUUCCCAAAAACAGCUAGGUAAACUCCUCAGAUGAAGACGAAUAUUUUCUCCUGUUGCAUCCCCAGUUAUUAGAUCUUCCCUAAUCCUUUUGCAUCCUUGUCUGCAGUAGCUCUUCUCCAACCGCAAUACCUAUUUUCCAAACAAACCUUGUGAACAGCAGCUAAGCCACAGACCUUGUAAAUUCCAAACAAACCCUGGAGCCACAAGCAAACAUAUAUGGCCGGCUUUCACCUCACUACAGGGAGUUACAUGAAAUCUUCUCUGUGGCUUCGCUUCCUAAAUCUUUUGCCAUUACUGUUUCAGUUUUCUUCCCUGUGCUUUCUGUUUUCCUGAAUGGUAGUAAUACAAAGUGAUAAAUGAGCCUUUAUGAGCCUACUUGUGAAAUGAGUAUUUUCAUUCAUUCAACAGUUAUUUUGUUAUUGCUUUUCUUAGAUAACUUUGUUUAUUUGGUUUACUUGGAUUUAGCAGUUUAAUAUUUUUUUAAUAACACCUUGUUAUGUAGGAUAGCAGCAUUUAAGGAUCUUGUACAAUAACUGAAGUUAUCCUUCUUGCAAGGUCAACAAGGCUAUUUUGUUUGAAGGCUAUUUUAACCCAAAUGUUUUGGGCUAAAAAGCUCAAUUUUAUGUUGCACAAGAACCUGCCUGAUAGUUCCAGGAAAAUGCACAGUCUGUGUUAGAUGAUGUUAAUUCAGAUGUUUAAAGAUAUAAAUCAAAUUGUUUCAGGGUGAUCUAGAGAGUAAUCUUGCAAGGAAAGUUAGCAUUCCUCGUUGUGGCACCCUGACACACAAAACUCACACAAAUAAAGAACAAGAGAACAAGAACAAAGUGCUCAAAGUUAAGGUCAUGUGAUCUAACCUCAUUACAUCAAUUAUAAUCCCAUUAAAUCAAAGGUCAAAUUGAAAGGAUUAUGAAAAUGUAUUAACUUUUUCUGGUAAUAUAACUUUGGACUCAAAGCUUAUUUUUCAUAAUUUUCAUCUCUCAGUUCUCUGUUCAAAAGUAAGUUUGUAAGUAUACUGAAGUUGCAGCCAUGGGAGAGUACUAUGCAACAAGAAGGUUUUGUGAACCAGUUUUCUUUCACAGAUGCAAUGAAAUAAUAAAAUAUCAGAUAUGGUCUUGUAUUCCACACUUCCAGCAUUCCUCCAGUAUGUUUCCUAGGCUCUGAUAUUUUGCAGAAUCAUUUUCUUUUAUCUUCAAUUAAAGUAACACAUCACCCCUAUGUUCCAAGUUUCAGUCAUAUUUAACUUUUGUGGCUAAGACUGCUUUUUUUUGGUUUGAUGUAGAUCCAGAUGUCAUUUUUUAUAAAAAAAGCCACAAUUACUAGUUUAGAAAAGAUUACCUCCAUGGAAGGAAAGGCAUCAUUUUCUAGUCUGGUUAAUUGUGAAUCUAUACAUCAUUAGCAGUGCCCCUUCUAGAACUAACCCAUACAACUCCAUUCACAGGCUCGUACAGAAGUGGAAGGAAAACCUAGCUUUCAUGAAGAGAUUCACCCAAGGAUCACAUGUUGUUUUAACAGUACAGGUAACCCAAAAUAAAAUCAUUCCUAUCAGUAAUAGUUAAAACAAGAAUAUGAAGAAAUGUUUGGGAGGAGUUCUGCUUUUGAAAUAUUCAUGUUAAAAGUUUAAAAGUUACUUCUACUAGUAGAAGUCAUUCACUGACUGUUAUAUAUCCAUAUCUCAAUACCUAUAAAGUUGCUAAAUUCUGCACCCAAUUGUAUCAUCCAAUUUUAUUAAGUCAAGAGACAGAAAUAUUUAAUAAAAUGCUCAUGUUACAUGCCAUAAUAUUUUUGGAAAGAAAAUAUCUUAAAGUGUGCUUUUUUAAGUUUUAAACUCAGCAAAUAAAAUAUUUCUACUGAAGAAUUUGUGAGGAGUUUUCUCACAACAAAAGGACAGUUAAUGAAAGCCAAAACAUUGGAACAUACCACCUUCCAUGGAAUUUUUGUCGGAAGAUGUUCCUGAACAUCAGAAUACAAUUUCAGAGGAUUUCUAUCCAUAUAUCCCUUAUCUUAGGUGAAUGUCUAACAAUAGGCAUCUUUUAGACAUCUGUUCUUGUGGGGUCUUUUACUGAUGUUAGUAAAAGAGAGACUUGUGCAAUUAUAUGGAGGGAUAAUCCCGCCACCUAAUUUGAGGCUUUCUUUCAUAAUGAACAGAGAGAAAGAAACACUUAAUGUAGAUGCGACGGAUUCUUCUGAUGUUAUAAAGAGCCUCAGUUAAUUAUAAUGUGUGAUUACUUUCCGUGUUAUCAGAGGUACAUGAAAUAUCCAGAAGCACAAAUAAUCAUUACUGUGGGAAAACGUUCUUUAUCUGAACCAGUGCUGUCAUUGCAUAUUGAAAGGACUGCAUCUGUGUCAUGGAUAUCACUUUGUAUAAAAAUAAUACCCCAUAACAUAGUGUGUUAUUGCAGACAAGACAGUAUCUUGGUCUAGAUCAUGUACAGAUUCCUUUUAAAUGGUGCAUGCAUAGUGCUUUGAAAUCUACAUCAGAAGGAUAACAUGCAAGUAAAAAGUAUUUUUAUUACUGUAGAAGGAGAGAUUGAUAAGAGAAGUUGAUAAAACAGUAGCCUUACUAUUCAGGUGUCAUAGGAAUUAUUUCACUGUAACCUGUACAUGUUAAAAAUAAAUGCAAAAGGAGAUGUAAUCACUACUAGCUAAGAUAAAACAAUAUUUUUGCAGAAAUCAGAAUAUAAA